UUCGGAUUGGAGUCUGCAACUCGACUCCAUGAAGUUGGAAUCGCUAGUAAUCGCGGAUCAGCAUGCCGCGGUGAAUACGUUCCCGGGCCUUGUACACACCGCCCGUCACACCACGAGAGUUGAUUGUACCAGAAGUCGUUGGGCUAACCCUUCGGGGAGGCAGGCGCCUAAGGUAUGGUUGAUAAUUGGGGUGAAGUCGUAACAAGGUAGCCGUUGGGGAACCAGCGGCUGGAUCACCUCCUUU
rnacentral:rRNA from 1 species